UUGCUGUAGUGAACACCGGACAAUGUUGUCUCUUCCUCCCCAGUGUUUGGAUAAACAUCUUCACUGCUAGAAAACAACUGUAGAACUGGAAUUUUAGAGGGGCAGGAAGACAAGUCUCAAAGUUCCUAACUUUCCAAUGAUGGGAAAUUAAAUCCAUGUGACUGGAAAGCCAGACAUCAUGAGCACUUACCAUAAGUGAUGAAAUGAACAAUGAGUCCGAUGAUUACUGCAGCAAUCACCAUUACUGUGAUA